AAAAACUAAGAGCAUCCAAACUAUCAACGCGCGCCCCAUUCUUUUCUCUAACUUAGCGGAGCAGCGAGAAGAAACCACCAGCAUCUUCUUCAUCUGCGCCCUCAGCCCUCCUCCGCCAUCUUCUUCAUCUAUGCUAGAACCUUCAUCUACCAUCCUCCGCCCUCCUCCGCCAUCUUCUUCAUCUGCGGUGAGAACCCUCAUCUACCAUCCUCCGCCCUCCUCCGUCAUCUUCUUCAUCUGCGGCGAGAACCCUCAUCUACCCUCCUCCACCCUCCUCCAAAAUCUUUCUGCGGCAAACCCUAAACUCCCUCUCCUCCCCUAUCGAUCCGCCCCUCCUGGUUGCACCGCUUCCUCUGACCCCCGGCCAGGGCGAUCUCCCCCACCGCCCUCAUCGCCUCCUUCGAGAGAUCGGUAUCCGCAUAAACGCCACACAUGAGGGAGGCCAAGGAUAUCGAGGGUGGACCGACCCUCGACCGGACCACCUUCUUCCCUGGGAUCUUGUCGCUGGCGCUGGCCUCGCUCCUGUCCAUCUCCCCCACUCUUUUCAUGCCUCUAGGGUUCGAUCCAGGAGUGAUUAGCUUCUUCCAUGAGUUGAGCCCAAUUUUCGUCAACAACAACUUCAACAGCAACUUCAUCAACAAUAGCCCCGUCACCUCUCCACUCCUACCGUGCCUUCCCCGGAGCCUUUUGGGAUCUGAGCCAAUUUCCAGAUUUCUGACCAAAGAUCAAGCUUUAAUUUGUUCAUUAUAAAAACAAGAUCGUGAUUGCGAUCCCUGUUGCUACUCCGACUACCCGCUAACCUUCGAGUUUCCCGUUCACAAAGGUUUGAAAUUUGUUCAUUCUUUCUCAUUUUCUUUAUGCUUGUCUCUCAAUGUUGUGUUCUUUGUUCUAAAAUUAUCAAAAUCCUCACAAAAUAAACAAAUUUUCUAAACUUGUUUAAAAUUCUAAACAUUGUUUCCAUAUUCAUGUUUAUUCUAAACAUUGUUCAAGUAAUUUAUUUACUUCUACAUGGGUAUGCCCACACCUUAUUUUACAUAAGCUUUUGCACAUGAACUUGGAGCCAGAGUGUUGGUCUAAAAGAGUUGAUUCUCCAACAUAGGUAUGGCGGGCUAGAUGAAGCAUCGCAACUGGUCAACCAUGUAUACUUUAUCCUUUUUACGAAACUUUAAUUCCUUGUAAGAUCAAAAUCAUAUCCUAGAGUCUUAUUCUUUUUAGGAAAAAUCAUAUUUAGUGCUUGUUGUCUUGUUUAUAGCACAUAUGUAGUGAGAGCUUUAUUACCUGGGUUUUCUAAACAUGACAUGAAGCUUUUGUUCCUGACUAUCAGAAAUAAAGUUGAGCAAGCUACUUAUGUCUUGCCCACAUAUGUUGCAAGACAAUUAAUGAAUAAUUGAAUGUCUUGACUUUAUUAUUUCAAUAAUUUUGUUCUUAAAAUUCUUAGUGGAGUUGUUAUUAGCAUGUUGCAAAUUAUUUAUUAAUAAAAAAACUUUCAAUAUGAAUAAAAAGAACCUGCACUUGAUUCCCUCAUAGAUGUUGAGCAUUCCAGAGAGAGUUUUGGUCUUAUCAAGAACAUGAAUGCUGCUCCUGAAACAAAAAAAAAGAGAGAGAUUAAAACCAACAUCUCACUUUGGUUUUCUUUUGACAUAAAUUAAAGCAACAGCUCUUCCAAGUCUUCUUUUCUUGGUCAGAGUACACGCUCUUCAAUGUAAUCUCAAUAUGAUGAAGCCAGAAAUGGAGCAAAUUUGUCUACUCGUAUGUAUAGGUCGUGUAUGUUGGUAUACAUAUUUGGGAUCAUUGUGGAUUUUUUUCAUGUACAUGUGGAUAUACAUUUUGGUUAUAUACUCUUAGGAUUUGUGGAUAUAUACUUGUGGAUUGUGUUUCAAUAAAAUUGUGUUUUUU